rnacentral:rRNA from 1 species
UGGGAAUCUGCCCUUAGGUUCGGAAUAACAGUUAGAAAUGACUGCUAAUACCGGAUAAUGUCUUCGGACCAAAGAUUUAUUGCCUAAGGAUGAGCCCGCGUAAGAUUAGCUUGUUGGUGAGGUAAAGGCUCACCAAGGCGACGAUCUUUAGCUGGUCUGAGAGGAUGAUCAGCCACACUGGGACUGAGACACGGCCCAGACUCCGUACGGGAGGCAG